rnacentral:misc_RNA from 1 species
GAUGAAGAACGCAGCGAAAUGCGAUACUUGGUGUGAAUUGCAGAAUCCCGUGAACCAUCGAGUCUUUGAACGCAAGUUGCGCCCGAAGCCAUUAGGCCGAGGGCACGCCUGCCUGGGCGUCACACGUCGUUGCCCCCCCAUCUACUCCUUCGGGAUUGCGGGGGGCGGAUGAUGGCCUCUCGUGCGCCUCGUCGCGCGGUUGGCCUAAAUGCCAAGUCCUCGGCGACGCACGCCACGACAAUCGGUGGUUGCGAAACCUCGGUUGCCUGUCGUGUGCGGUCGUCGCGCAUCGAGGGCUCGAAAAAAUUGCCGGGCUUCGGCUCGACUUUCAACGCGACCCCAGGUCAGGUGGGGUUACCCGCUGAAUUUAAGCAUAUCAAUAGGCGGAGGA